rnacentral:rRNA from 1 species
CCUACGGGAGGCAGCAGUAAGGAAUAUUGGUCAAUGGACGCAAGUCUGAACCAGCCAUGCCGCGUGAAGGAUGAAGGCCCUCUGGGUUGUAAACUUCUUUUAUAGGGGACGAAAAAAGGGAAUUCUUUCUCACUUGACGGUACCCUAGGAAUAAGCACCGGCUAACUCCGUGCCAGCAGCCGCGGUAAUACGGAGGGUGCAAGCGUUAUCCGGAUUCACUGGGUUUAAAGGGUGCGUAGGUGGGCAUUUAAGUCAGUGGUGAAAUCUCCGGGCUUAACCCGGAAACUGCCAUUGAUACUAUUUGUCUUGAAUAUUGUGGAGGUAAGCGGAAUAUGUCAUGUAGCGGUGAAAUGCUUAGAUAUGACAUAGAACACCCAUUGCGAAGGCAGCUUACUACGCAAAUAUUGACACUGAGGCACGAAAGCGUGGGGAUCAAACAGGAUUAGAUACCCUGGUAGUCCACGACCUAACCGAUAGAUACUACGACACUACAGACGACUACACAGUUGGUUGUCGUG